AGUUUGAUCCUGGCUCAGGAUGAACGCUAGCGGCAGGCUUAAUACAUGCAAGUCGUGGGGCAGCGGGGGUAGCAAUACCUGCCGGCGACCGGCAAACGGGUGAGGAACAUGUACGCAACCUUCCUUUAACUGGAGAAUAGCCCCUCGAAAGAGGGAUUAAUACUCCGUAAUAUAUUGAUAAGGCAUCUUAUUAAUAUAAUAGCUCCGGCGGUUAAAGAUGGGCGUGCACCUGAUUAGAUAGUUGGCGGGGUAAUGGCCCACCAAGUCUGCGAUCAGUAAUUGGUGUGAGAGCACGACCAGUCACACGGGCACUGAGACACGGGCCCGACUCCUACGGGAGGCAGCAGUAAGGAAUAUUGGUCAAUGGACGCAAGUCUGAACCAGCCAUGCCGCGUGGAGGAUUAAGGCCCUCUGGGUUGUAAACUCCUUUUAUCUGGGAAGAAAUGUCUGCAUUCUUGCGGACUUGACGGUACCAGAGGAAUAAGCACCGGCUAACUCCGUGCCAGCAGCCGCGGUAAUACGGAGGGUGCAAGCGUUAUCCGGAUUCACUGGGUUUAAAGGGUGCGUAGGCGGAUAGGUAAGUCAGUGGUGAAAUCUCCGAGCUUAACUCGGAAACUGCCGUUGAUACUAUUUGUCUUGAAUAUUGUGGAGGUAAGCGGAAUAUGUCAUGUAGCGGUGAAAUGCUUAGAUAUGACAUAGAACACCAAUUGCGAAGGCAGCUUACUACACAAUUAUUGACGCUGAGGCACGAAAGCGUGGGGAUCAAACAGGAUUAGAUACCCUGGUAGUCCACGCCCUAAACGAUGAUUACUCGACAUACGCGAUAUACUGUGUGUGUCUGAGCGAAAGCAUUAAGUAAUCCACCUGGGAAGUACGACCGCAAGGUUGAAACUCAAAGGAAUUGACGG
rnacentral:rRNA from 1 species